UACGUAGGGUGCGAGCGUUGUCCGGAAUUAUUGGGCGUAAAGAGCUCGUAGGGGGUCUGUCGCGUCGAUCGUGAAAACUUGGGGCUUAACCCUGAGCUUGCGGUCGAUACGAGCAAACUAGAGUGUUGCAGGGGAGACUGGAAUUCCUGGUGUAGCGGUGAAAUGCGCAGAUAUCAGGAGGAACACCGGUGGCGAAGGCGGGUCUCUGGGCAGUAACUGACGCUGAGGAGCGAAAGCGUGGGGAGCGAACAGG
rnacentral:rRNA from 1 species